GUUGUGGUCUUGAACCGUGGCUUCUGGAGCUAACGCGUUAAAUCGACCGCCUGGGGAGUACGGCCGCAAGGUUAAAACUCAAAUGAAUUGACGGGGGCCCGCACAAGCGGUGGAGCAUGUGGUUUAAUUCGAUGCAACGCGAAGAACCUUACCUACUCUUGACAUCCAGCGAAUCCUUUAGAGAUAGAGGAGUGCCUUCGGGAACGCUGAGACAGGUGCUGCAUGGCUGUCGUCAGCUCGU
rnacentral:rRNA from 1 species